AGCGAACGCUGGCGGCAGGCUUAACACAUGCAAGUCGAACGGGCAUAGCAAUAUGUCAGUGGCAGACGGGUGAGUAACGCGUGGGAACGUACCUUUUGGUUCGGAACAACACAGGGAAACUUGUGCUAAUACCGGAUAAGCCCUUACGGGGAAAGAUUUAUCGCCGAAAGAUCGGCCCGCGUCUGAUUAGCUAGUUGGUAGGGUAAUGGCCUACCAAGGCGACGAUCAGUAGCUGGUCUGAGAGGAUGAUCAGCCACAUUGGGACUGAGACACGGCCCAAACUCCUGCGGGAGGCAGCAGGGGGGAAUAUUGGAAAAUGGGCGAGAGCCUGAGCCAGCCGUGCCGGGUGGGUGAUGAAGGCCCGAGGGUUGUAAAGCUCUUUUGUGCGGGAAGGUAAUGACGGUACCGCAAGAAUAAGCCCCGGCUAACUUCGUG
rnacentral:rRNA from 1 species